AAACUUUCAACAACGGAUCUCUUGGUUCUGGCAUCGAUGAAGAACGCAGCGAAAUGCGAUAAGUAGUGUGAAUUGCAGAAUUCAGUGAAUCAUCGAAUCUUUGAACGCACAUUGCGCC
rnacentral:rRNA from 1 species